rnacentral:lncRNA from 1 species
CGAAGAGAAGUUCUUUUCAUUAAAGGAAAACUAAUGAGACAUCAGUUCAAAUUACAGGAAGAAUGUAGAACAGCAAAAAAGAGCUGGUUCAAAAGAUUAUGGUUUCUGAUCAUACAGAUUGAAUACAGUCUUCCUGAUAUUGUCAAAAUCAUCUGAAUUGGAGUUUGUGGGCACAUUCCAUAUGGCAGAGCUGAAAGUUGGCUCUGGGAAUAGUACGCUCUGGCAAGUAUGACAGAGCUGGAAGUCAGCUCUGCAAAAAAUAUGUUGACUCUGGAAAAAUAUGUUGACUCUGGAGAAUAGUCAGCUCUGUCGAUUCUUCCCAGCUCUGCUCUGUCAAGUUUACUCUAGUGCGUAAGUCAGCUCU